rnacentral:pre_miRNA from 15 species
CAGGUUGUUCUGACUGUUUCAAAAGCUUGUAGUAUCUUAAUAAAUAAACAUAUAAGCUCGUGAUCAACAGGCAGAACAACUCG